rnacentral:lncRNA from 1 species
UUUAAGUACACUGUGGGAGCAAAAGAUUUCCCCAACUCUAUUGCAAGACAGCUAUAUUCCAAGCAGACGAAGAGACCAAUCAGAGAGCAGCAGCAUCUAAACAGGAAGAACUCUGGAGGGUUUUACAUCAUAAAUGACGGGGGUUGAAACAUCUGAAAGAAGGUGCCGCUGCAGGGACACAAAGAAGAAUGGAGAAGAGAAACUGACUGGCUGAAGGGCGAGAAACCAAAAAAAACACACACGAUUGAACAAUUGAACCAUCUCCUCCAUUCUCAAACAGAAUGUGGAAGGAAAAGCUGCCGACACUGAGAAGAUAAAAUGGCACGCAAAAAAGCCAAAGGAGCAGGCAAGAAAAAAGAUGCCAAGGAGAAGCCUGAUGAUGCCAAGGAGAAGCCUGAUGAUGCCAAGCCUGCAGGGGAUGAAGGAGAAAAAAUUAUAAGUGAAAAAACACCCUUGGAAAAAAUAAUGAAUUUUUUUCAAACUCCACUGGGUCUAUUUCUGGCCAUAGUAAUCACCAUCUUCCUUGUUUUCUUGGCAGUACAAGCUGUCAUUAUGUGUCUGAAUGAGUGGGAAAAAACAGCUGACCUACGACAUGCAAUGCAGCUCGUUAAGACAUUUAUGAUGAGAAAAGAUUCAAGCUAUGAAGAUAAGGAUGUCAAAAUUCGUUACAAAUUGAAUCAUGACUGGAUGGCCCAUAAAGAUGCAAUCUAUUUAUUUGUUGUUCAACCACAGAACUGGACUGAAUCAAGAAAAUUUUGUAUGAGACAGAAUGCUAAACUGCUUCGGGUUGAAAAUGCUGAGGAGGAGGAGUUCAUAGAAGGAAUAGCCUAUGGAAAGCACAACUCUUAUUGGAUUGGAGCAAUUAAGGAAUCUAACAAAUGGAUAUGGUUGGAUGACAAGACAGAAGUGAAGCUAUUAUACUGGGCUGAAAAGAGCCCGAGAAAAGAAGAUACGACACCAGACCAGCCAUUUUGUAUGAGGUUAAAGAAUGACUGCACCAUACCAAGAAAAUGUUGGACUGAUAUUAGAUGCAAUUAUUGGGCACGGUCAAUCUGUAAGAUUAAGCCUCUGAAAAAAUGGAUGAACUGA